GGCGCGGGUGUUCGGCUACGUCACUGGGGCGCUACGGUUCCUGGAGCUGGGCAGUCUUCUCGUCAGAGUGGGGACUGGUAAGAGCGACCUCCCCGCCAGGUCCUGUGUGUUGCCGGCUGAAGAAGGGAUGAUGAUUAUUCCCCACCUUCUAAGAGACAAAGACCAACGAGCCACCACAGCCACCAGUCCCAGAACCCGCCAAUGCUGGGGAAUGGAAAAUGAGGGAGUUCAACUCUGGUAAGGUCUCAGCAAAAUCCAUGACCUUUUCCUUUAUCUUCUGGACUCUCAAUGUGACUGAUGAAAGUUACCACAUGCUCUGCAGGGGGAAGUGGUUUAGCAUGUAUUACUACAUCUUAAUCACAUCUUUGUAAAGCCAGGAGCAUUUUACAAGUCACGUUACAGACAUUGUUUAAACAUAGUCUGUAUUUACCAAAGUAUAGGACAUUGUAUCAUCUCAUAUUAAUUAGUUAGUUGGCUCAAAAUUAGUGCUAAUGACUUAGUAAUUCAGUGAUUUCUGUUAGCUUUAAAACCUUUAUUUCAGAACUAUUUCACCUCUUGGUUUUCAUUUUUGCUGUGUGUCACUGCCUGCCGGCUGCUAAUUUAUUAACUCCCAGUGAAUCAUGUGUCCUGUGAAGGGACUGAAUAUUAGUGGCAAUUUAUGUUGAUGAUUUGUAUUUUGAAUAAAUAGUUUGAAUACAUAGAA
rnacentral:lncRNA from 1 species